UACGUAGGGGGCAAGCGUUGUCCGGAUUUAUUGGGCGUAAAGAGCGUGUAGGCGGCCGUACAGGUCAGCUGUGAAAACUCGAGGCUCAACCUCGAGACGUCGGUUGAAACCGUACGGCUAGAGUCCGGAAGAGGAGAGUGGAAUUCCCGGUGUAGCGGUGAAAUGCGCAGAUAUCGGGAAGAACACGCGUGGCGAAGGCGGCGCUCUGGGACGGUACUGACGCUGAGACGCGAAAGCGUGGGGAGCG
rnacentral:rRNA from 1 species